AAAACUCUUGGUUCACAAGAAAGUGCCUAAUGGCCCUUUUCAAAAUUAUUACAGCCUGAGUCUUUAUUUUUGUCGUUUCACACCCGAGUCUUUAUUUAUUAGUUUUUGUUAGUUGUCUUUAGAGUUAUUUUACUAGGUUAGUUGUCUUACCUAACCCUUAUAUACUAAAAAUAAAGACCAAUACUAGGAUGAAUCAACCACAUAUGAUCCACAUGUUAUAUUGUUUGUCUCUGUUCUCAUCUCUUGCAGAACCAAAAAUCUCUGACAUACUAUAAAGUGUCCACAUAUCUAACCAAGUGGUACACAUCUCUCAUAUCUACUUAUUUAGACAUAGGUAUGAAAUCAAAAAUCCCCUCUCUUUUUGCCUUUUUUUUUUAUUUUACAAUUUUAUUUGAAAUGAAUAGUCGUUAUUAGAAAUGAAUAGUCUGGAGGAAAAAUUCAAUCAUUUGGUUACAGGAAUCACUAGGACUAGGAGAGUGGAGGCAGCAUCCAGCUACUCAUUGAAGCUGGUGGGUCUUUCGGAGAUUAAGGCAGGGAGUAAUGUUAGAUCGUAUGAAUCAGAUGUAUUUACUGCUUCAGGGUAUCAAUGGAGAUUGAUCUUGUACCCUCUUGGCAACGACAAUGACGGUGGGAAAAUCACUUCUCAAUCUAUGUAAGACUAGAAACUUUGGUUUCAAAUCUUCCGAAGAAUUGGGAGAUUCAAGUGGAUAUGAAGUUCUUGGUUUUUAAUCAGAACCAUAAAAAGUAUUUGACAGUCCAAGAUGGGAUCUGAAACGAUACAAUGAAGCUAAAAAAAUAGUUUGGUAUAGCUCAGUUUAUCGAACUCUCAACGCUGAAAGAUCAAAAGAAUGGGUAUGCAGUGAAGGACACUUGUACCUUUGGCGUUGAUAUUGCUAUUUUGAAACCUGCUGAGAAACUCGAGACUGUUACCUUCUUACACAACCCUCCAAACAACAAAUUCACUUGGAAGAUCUUUCAUUUCUCGAACCUGAGUGACCAGGAAUUUGUUCUGUCUGAUCAGUUCCUUGCUGGGCAGAGAUACUGGAAAAUUAGAGUUGAUCCGAAAAGGGAACGAGAGGGGGUGUAUAUAUUGUUCCCCAAACCCAUUUGCCAAACUGUGCUAUCGCCAGCAGUUUACGUAAUGUUCAAAUUGAAAAUUCGGAACCAACUAAACGGGAACCACAUAGAGAGAACUGAUAUCUGUAAUUUAUUUUUGUCGAGUGGUGACCGUACGUGGUCAUGGGGUACCAAAACUAAUAACACAGAAGGAUCUGUACGAUAAAUCCAAAGGGUUCUUGGUGAAAGACACCAUCAUUCUUGAAGUUGAAAUGCUUUGUAUGAGCCAGACCCAAGUCAUCUCCAAGUAGAUGACUAUUAUCACUUAUUUUGCUCUGCAUAUAUAUAUGUGUGUGUGUGUGUGUGUGUUGGUGUGAGAGAAACCUUGAGUUUCUGAAUAGAGGAAAUACACUAUGUUGAAUGCCUCUAGUUAUGUUUCAUUUGCGUUUGUAUGUUUACGUGAAUUGUUUAAUGAGGAAAAAUGUCUUAUAUUUUGACUGAUAGAUUGGUAGUUUGGAACAAAUGGAGACGAUUUGAGACGAUUCAUUCCAUAACCAAUUCAAUCCCAAACUAUUGCUACCAAAAGUUUGACAACUUACACUCUACUAAAUACUAGGAGAGGUCCGCGCUACGCGCGGGAUUUGAUGAUCAUUUUUAAAUUUUUUGAAAUGAGUAUGAUUAUAUGGUCUACACCAAAUUUCAGUUAUAUAUAUAACUAAAAAUGGUCGAAUUCUUAGUAUUGUUGAUGUUUUAAUCUCUAAUUGUAAGCUUUUAUAAUGUUUUAAGUUUCAUAACACUGUAAAAUACAUAAAUCAGUCGGACUCAAUCCAAAAAGAAUGAGGUAGAGUUUUUUAAUACCAUUGUAUCUUUUUCGUGAGGGUUUAUAAAAUAAUGGAGAAUGAAGUUUUAUUUAUUGUUGUUUUGGAGAAUGUUAGUAAUUGAUAUUUUAACAAUUAUUGUUGUUUUUGGGCCUUUAUUUUGUGCAAUAUUUUAUGGUAUCUAGAUAUUAUUAUAAUUUUCAUUUUUGCAUAAUUAUUUUUGAGAUUAUUUUUAAAAUAGGCACAAUUUGAUUACAUGCAUAAAUGUAUUUUUACCUCGUACGUAUAUGUAUAUUGUAUUACAAUCAGCUAAAAAUAUGAAGAGAAAUUUAUUUAUUCAAUUUGGUAGAGUACAGUUUCCAACAACAUACACAUGUGAUCUAAUAUACUCUAAUUUUAGCGAAAUG